rnacentral:rRNA from 1 species
CCUACGUGAGGCAGCAGUGAGGAAUAUUGGUCAAUGGGCUUACGCCUGAACCAGCCAAGUCGCGUGAGGGAAGACUGCCCUAUGGGUUGUAAACCUCUUUUGUCAGGGAGCAACGCCGGCUACGUGUAGCCGGACUGAGAGUACCUGAAGAAAAAGCAUCGGCUAACUCCGUGCCAGCAGCCGCGGUAAUACGGAGGAUGCGAGCGGUAUCCGGAUUUAUUGGGUUUAAAGGGUGCGUAGGCGGAAUGCCAAGUCAGCGGUAAAAUCGCGGGGCUCAACCUCGCUCCGCCGUUGAAACUGGCGUUCUUGAGUGGGCGAGAGGUAUGCGGAAUGCGUGGUGUAGCGGUGAAAUGCAUAGAUAUCACGCAGAACUCCGAUUGCGAAGGCAGCAUACCGGCGCCCAACUGACGCUGAAGCACGAAAGCGUGGGUAUCGAACAGGAUUAGAUACCCGAGUAGUC